UACAACAUAGCAUAAUGAAACGGAUCCCAUUAGACCUCCAUAGUUAAGCGCUCUUACGUUAGAGUAGUACUAGGAUGGGUGACCACACGGGAAGUCCUAAUGUUUUAC
rfam:Picea glauca, whole genome shotgun sequence.